UAAUACAUGCAAGUCGAACGAAACUUUCUUACACCGAAUGCUUGCAUUCACCGUAAGAAGUUGAGUGGCGGACGGGUGAGUAACACGUGGGUAACCUGCCUAAAAGAAGGGGAUAACACUUGGAAACAGGUGCUAAUACCGUAUAUCUCUAAGGAUCGCAUGAUCCUUAGAUGAAAGAUGGUUCUGCUAUCGCUUUUAGAUGGACCCGCGGCGUAUUAACUAGUUGGUGGGGUAACGGCCUACCAAGGUGAUGAUACGUAGCCGAACUGAGAGGUUGAUCGGCCACAUUGGGACUGAGACACGGCCCAAACUCCUACGGGAGGCAGCAGUAGGGAAUCUUCCACAAUGGACGCAAGUCUGAUGGAGCAACGCCGCGUGAGUGAAGAAGGUCUUCGGAUCGUAAAACUCUGUUGUUAGAGAAGAACACGAGUGAGAGUAACUGUUCAUUCGAUGACGGUAUCUAACCAGCAAGUCACGGCUAACUACGUGCCAGCAGCCGCGGUAAUAC
rnacentral:rRNA from 2 species